UCUUGGAAUCCAUAGCUCAGUGACAGAGCAUCUGCUUUGCAUGCAGAAGGUUGCGGGUUCAGUCCCCAGCAUUUCCUCAGAGAG